rnacentral:rRNA from 1 species
UACAGAGGGGGCAAGCGUUGUUCGGAAUUAUUGGGCGUAAAGAGCGCGCAGGCGGUAUGACAAGUCAGAUGUGAAAGAGGCCGGCUUAACCGGCAAGGGUCAUUUGAAACUGUCAGACUAGAGUGCAGCAGAGGAUAGUGGAAUUCCCGGUGUAGUGGUGAAAUGCGUAGAUAUCGGGAGGAACACCAGUGGCGAAGGCGACUAUCUGGGCUGCAACUGACGCUGAGGCGCGAAGGCUAGGGUAGCAAACAGG